rnacentral:rRNA from 1 species
AUGAACGCUGGCGGCGUGCCUAACACAUGCAAGUCGAGCGAUCUCUCGGAGAAGAGCGGCGGACGGGUGAGUAACGCGUGGGUAACCUGCCUCAUACACAUGGAUAACAUACCGAAAGGUAUGCUAAUACAGGAUAAUAUAAGAGAUUCACAUGGAUUUCUUAUCAAAGCUCCGGCGGUAUGAGAUGGACCCGCGUCUGAUUAGCUAGUUGGUAAGGUAAUGGCUUACCAAGGCGACGAUCAGUAGCCGACCUGAGAGGGUGAUCGGCCACAUUGGAACUGAGACACGGUCCAAACUCCUACGGGAGGCAGCAGUGGGGAAUAUUGCACAAUGGGCGAAAGCCUGAUGCCAGCAACGCCGCGUGAGUGAUGAAGGCCUUCGGGUCGUAAAACUCUGUCCUCAAGGAAGAUAAUGACGGUACUUGAGGAGGAAGCCCCGGCUAACUACGUGCCAGCAGCCGC